rnacentral:misc_RNA from 1 species
CCGGCCACACCUGGCGGU